rnacentral:rRNA from 1 species
GAUGAACGCUGGCGGCGUGCCUAAUACAUGCAAGUCGAGCGAACAGACGAGGAGCUUGCUCUUCUGACGUUAGCGGCGGACGGGUGAGUAACACGUGGAUAACCUACCUAUAAGACUGGGAUAACUUCGGGAAACCGGAGCUAAUACCGGAUAAUAUAUUGAACCGCAUGGUUCAAUAGUGAAAGACGGCUUUGCUGUCACUUAUAGAUGGAUCCGCGCCGCAUUAGCUAGUUGGUAAGGUAACGGCUUACCAAGGCAACGAUGCGUAGCCGACCUGAGAGGGUGAUCAGCCACACUGGAACUGAGACACGGUCCAGACUCCUACGGGAGGCAGCAGUAGGGAAUCUUCCGCAAUGGGCGAAAGCCUGACGGAGCAACGCCGCGUGAGUGAUGAAGGUCUUCGGAUCGUAAAACUCUGUUAUUAGGGAAGAACAAAUGUGUAAGUAACUAUGCACGUCUUGACGGUACCUAAUCAGAAAGCCACGGCUAACUACGUG